GUAGAAUAAAUUGACGUGAAUAUACUCAGGGGGCGGGGUUAGAGGGGGCAGUUCACGAUUCCUCUGGCUUUCCAAAUGAACGUAUUAGUUCCGGGAGAAUUGUUACCGUUAGUGUGAAUAGGAACAGCUACUGCACAGGGCUAAGUACGGAUAAUGAACAAACACAUGUAUGUAAGGGGUCUCUGUGUAUUCCGACAUGUAUUCCAGCUGUAAAAUUAAGCGUUUAGUUGAUGCCAUGUGUUUGGUUUUUUUUAUUAUGUGAGACGGAAAAAUAGACAAAGCUUCUGAAACUGUGACACAGUCUUUAUUCCUCAAUUUAACAAACUUGGCCGAAUCCAGUAAAGUAACAAUGCCCUUAAACGGGGAACACAGACGGAGACCUCGCCUCGGAGUCAACAUUACCGUCUAAAAGAGGAACCGUUCUCACGCAAUUAUUCUCCUGUCACGUGCCAUCGUACGCAGAGGCGAUGAUGAAAUCUUAACUAUAUUAAAAACAAACAAACAAAAAAAACUCCAACUGUGACUGAAAGAUUUUACGAAUCUUAAUGAAGCUUUGAAUGAAAAA